GACGAACGCUGGCGGCGUGCUUAACACAUGCAAGUCGUACGGUAAGGCCCUUUCGGGGGUACACGAGUGGCGAACGGGUGAGUAACACGUGAGUAACCUGCCCACAACUUUGGGAUAACGCUAGGAAACUGGUGCUAAUACUGGAUAUGUGCUCCUGCUGCAUGGUGGGGGUUGGAAAGCUCCGGCGGUUGUGGAUGGACUCGCGGCCUAUCAGCUUGUUGGUGGGGUAGUGGCCUACCAAGGCGGCGACGGGUAGCCGGCCUGAGAGGGUGACCGGCCACAGUGGGACUGAGAUACGGCCCAGACUCCUACGGGAGGCAGCAGUGGGGAAUAUUGCACAAUGGGCGCAAGCCUGAUGCAGCAACGCCGCGUGCGGGAUGACGGCCUUCGGGUUGUAAACCGCCUUCAGCAGGGACGAAGCUUUUUGUGACGGUACCUGCAGAAGAAGCACCGGCUAACUACGUGC
rnacentral:rRNA from 1 species